GGUGAAGUCGAGUAAGAACUAUGAGAAGGCCGUGGAUCAGAUUGACGAAAACCUCCUCUAUUGGCCUCGCUUUAUCAGACAGAAGAAACUGGUUCCCCUCAGAAGAAAAGUGGAACCGAGAGAAAAGGAGUAUGGACACGUCUGCAACCUCCCCAUCCAUGCAUUUAGCAAGGCUCUGGAAAACAACCUGUUAGCAUCGAGGAGCCACUCACCUUGUCAGCCUAGAGCCAGCUGUAAUAAUCUCCUGAGCAAUUCCGGCCUAAACCCCCCCCCCCCCAUACGCCCUCUCGAACUCCUUCUGCAUUUUUACCCCCCAAAAGAGGACUUAGCUAAGGCUAACUUAUUGGUUGAAUUGUAUGUAAUGAUCUGAAAUAAACAUGUUCUGAGGCAGAUUUGGCUCUGCUCCUCAGGACCAUCACACACACCUCCAGUUACCUGGUAACAGCAGCUCCACGUGUUUCAGGUGGCGCACCACCAAGACCCCCAUCCUGUUAGGACACAGAUACAGACCGGCAACUAAAGAUUGGAGAGGCCUGAAGUACCCAAUUAAAUCAUCUAUAUUGGAGGCUGCGCAGUUGCCCUUUGAUAAGAGCACAUAGUCAGUACAACCUACAGUUAAAGUACAGCCUGGUUUACAAUCAACCAGGGACCUAGAUUUGCUUCAGACGAUGUGAAGCACUGCGUGCAGACAGAUACAAGCGUCCCACCUGUCUAUGAAGAGUGGCAGGAUGCCGGC